rnacentral:rRNA from 1 species
GAGUUUGAUCGUGGCUCAGGACGAACGCUGGCGGCGUGCUUAACACAUGCAAGUCGAACGGGAAACAUUUUAUUGAAGCUUCGGCAGAUUUAGCUUGUUUCUAGUGGCGGACGGGUGAGUAACGCGUGGGUAACCUGCCCCACACAGGGGGAUAACAACCAGAAAUGGCUGCUAAUACCGCAUAGGCGCACGGGGCCGCAUGGCCUAGUGUGAAAAACUCCGGUGGUGUGGGAUGGGCCCGCGUUGGAUUAGCCAGUUGGCAGGGUAACGGCCUACCAAAGCGACGAUCCAUAGCCGGCCUGAGAGGUGGACGGCCACAUUGGGACUGAGACACGGCCCAGACUCCUACGGGAGCAGCAGUGGGAAUAUUGCACAAUGGGGGAAACCCUGAUGCAGCGACGCCGCGUGAAGG